rnacentral:tRNA from 1 species
GCCGGUGUAGCUCAGCUGGUAGAGCGUCUGAUUUGUAAUCAGAGGGUCGCAGGUUCGACUCCUGUCACCGGCU